AGCGAACGCUGGCGGCAGGCUUAACACAUGCAAGUCGAGCGGGCACUUUCGGGUGUCAGCGGCGGACGGGUGAGUAACGCGGGGGAACGUGCCCCCUGGUUCGGAAUAACUCAGGGAAACUUGAGCUAAUACCGGAUACGCCCUUUUGGGGAAAGGCUUGCUGCCGGAGGAUCGGCCCGCGUCUGAUUAGCUAGUUGGUGAGGUAACGGCUCACCAAGGCGACGAUCAGGAGCUGGUCUGAGAGGAUGAUCAGCCACACUGGGACUGAGACACGGCCCAGACUCCUACGGGAGGCAGCAGUGGGGAAUAUUGGACAAUGGGCGCAAGCCUGAUCCAGCCAUGCCGCGUGAGUGAUGAAGGCCUUAGGGUUGUAAAGCUCUUUUAUCCGGGACGAUAAUGACGGUACCGGAGGAAUAAGCCCCGGCUAACUUCGUG
rnacentral:rRNA from 1 species